GGGUGAUCUCGGGUGACACACCCCGGAAUCGGGCUCCCUCCUCUCUGGUUCCGGGUGCAUCACCGGAGAACCAUG
rfam:Myotis brandtii contig153649, whole genome shotgun sequence.